GUCUAUGGCCAUGCCACCCUGAAUGUACCGGAUCUCGUCUGAUCUCGGAAGCUAAGCAGGGUCGGGCCUGGUUAGUACUUGGAUGGGAGACCACCUAGGAAUACCCGGUGCUGUAGGCG
rnacentral:rRNA from 1 species